AUUGAACGCUGGCGGCAUGCCUUACACAUGCAAGUCGAACGGUUCCAGGUCUUCGGAUGCCGACGAGUGGCGAACGGGUGAGUAAUGCAUCGGAACGUGCCCAGUCGUGGGGGAUAACGCAGCGAAAGCUGUGCUAAUACCGUAUACGAGCUAUGGAUGAAACCGGGGGUCCGUAAGGCCUCCCGCGAUUGGAGCGGGCGAGGGCAGAUUAGCUAGUUGGUGGGGUAAAGGCACACCAAGGUGACGGUCUGGAUCUGGUCUGAGAGGACGACCAGCCACACUGGGACUGAGACACGGCCCAGACUCCUACGGGAGGCAGCAGUGGGGAAUUUUGGACAAUGGGCGCAAGCCUGAUCCAGCAAUGCCGCGUGCAGGAAGAAGGCCUUCGGGUUGUAAACUGCUUUUGUACGGAACGAAACGGUCUGGGUUAAUACCCUGGGCUAAUGACGGUACCGUAAGAAUAAGCACCGGCUAACUACGUGCCAGCCGCCGCCGUAAUAC
rnacentral:rRNA from 1 species